rnacentral:rRNA from 1 species
CCCCGGUAAACGGCGGCCGUAACUAUAACGGUCCUAAGGUAGCGAAAUUCCUUGUCGGGUAAGUUCCGACCUGCACGAAUGGCGUAAUGAUGGCCAGGCUGUCUCCACCCGAGACUCAGUGAAAUUGAACUCGCUGUGAAGAUGCAGUGUACCCGCGGCAAGACGGAAAGACCCCGUGAACCUUUACUAUAGCUUGACACUGAACAUUGAGCCUUGAUGUGUAGGAUAGGUGGGAGGCUUUGAAGUGUGGACGCCAGUCUGCAUGGAGCCGACCUUGAAAUACCACCCUUUAAUGUUUGAUGUUCUAACGUGGACCCGUAAUCCGGGUUGCGGACAGUGUCUGGUGGGUAGUUUGACUGGGGCGGUCUCCUCCUAAAGAGUAACGGAGGAGCACGAAGGUUGGCUAAUCCUGGUCGGACAUCAGGAGGUUAGUGCAAUGGCAUAAGCCAGCUUGACUGCGAGCGUGACGGCGCGAGCAGGUGCGAAAGCAGGUCAUAGUGAUCCGGUGGUUCUGAAUGGAAGGGCCA